UCGAUAUGUAUUUGUAUAUUAGAUUAUUUGGUUCCCAAACUUUGUAUCUACGGUAACUUCUUGUGCACAGGAAUAAGCCUAGAGAAAAUUAGGUUUUUAAUACUUUAUUAUUGCUUUGAUAUUGGUUUAUGUAAUUCGGGUAAAUUUAUUUUGUAACAUUACUUGCUUGUUUCCCAAAUAUUGUAUUUAUUCGCUUUAUUUCGUUUGUUCGGUUACUUCGUCGUUACUUUAUUUCAUUGCAUUUGCUCGGUUAAUUUAGGUCAUUUUGUCGGUAUUUUUCUUAACUUCACUUCUAUAACGUUUAUUCAUUUGUAUAUUUAAUUUUGCUUUAUUCAGUAUUGUAUUUUCUCUUAGUGAGGCUUGGGCCUAUUUAUUUGUAUUAUUUUCAUCUUCGUCGGUUUCCUUUAGUUGUACGUAGCAGGCAUACUAUAACCAUUUGGUAGAAGACUUAUGUAAUUUUGUCCCCUAUAUGUUAGUAAGAGGUACUUAUAUUUAAGUUUGUAACAGAUAACAUUAUUGUUGUUAUCUUUAAAAUAUAUAUAUCUUCUUGUAUAACUUAUGUCAUUUUAGAGUCACAGCAUAAUAUGAACUUGCUUAACUCAGAGAUUGUUAAAAAUCUGGUAGUUAUUUUUAAUAAAUAUGUUUAUUUAUUUUGUAUAUCAUUUAUUUUUAUUAUUCCUUUAUGUUCAUUAUUACAGGUUUGAUAUAUUUAAUAUCUGACAGCAGUAUAAGAUACCUGGGAAAAUGAUCGAAGAUCAUUUUCAUGGCGCCCAUGAUUAGUUAGUUUUAUUUAUUUUGUUCGUUUUUAGUCAUUAUUCAUCUCCUUCCUUUUCAGUACCUUAUUCUUAUUUUAUUAUUUCAUCUUCUAGUCAUCAUUACUAUCUAUAUAGAGCUACUGUUCUUCGACAGGCAUGCAAACGAGCCGUAUCCAUCCUUGAGUGUCAAGUUGCUCUCUUGCAUCUAUAGCUAGCCAACUCUAUUCAGUUUGCCUCUGUCUCUUCCCACUUUACUUCUAUCCCUUCUAAUUCCCCCUUUCUUCAGUACUACUGCAAAGUAGUAUUUUUUCCUAUUGCGGCUUCUCAACGUAGAAGCCACUUCAUCCUUUUCUUUACACAUCCCACAUUCUCUUCUUUUCAGCCACAACUACUUAGUUACCUUAGUUUUUUUUUUUCCUUACUUCUGUUGGAGUACCGAUAUCUUUCUUUUUACUUUCACUCCAACAGAAGUUUUCUUCUUUUUGUUACACUGGCUGCCCAAUGCGUGGUGCCAACCGUUUUAUGGUUCUAAGACAGUAGUUCUUUUAGUUCAAUUUUCUUUUAUUGGAAUUUUCUGUUUUAUUAACUUUUUGAUAUCUUUGUAUAUAUGUUAUUUCUGAUUUAUUUUUGUCUUUAAUUUUUAUUAAUAAUAAACAGGUAGACUUAUACUGCUUCUUUUGGUUUUGGUUAGUUUAUUUUUGAUACCUCAUCUUUAGCUUUAGUGGUACAGCUCAUAUCUUAGUUUGGAUUUUGUAUUUUUAUUGGAAACUUAUUUAUGUAUUUAGAUUGAGUAUACAUAACUGACAUUAUGUUCUAUUAGUUAAAUUUUUAUUCCUUCUACCAAUGGUAGUACGUUUGCGCGUACAAUUAAUCGUUGAAUAUAUGCAUACAUUUUUUUCUAGUGUGGUUAUAUUUUACACCUAACUAGAAAUUAUUUUCAGUAUUUAGGUAUUUUAUUUACUUUAUUGAUUUGAUUAUUUAUAUAUUUUGCUGGCAUUUUGAUUUGUUGGUGUGUCGCUAAUAUUUUCUCCAUAUGUAUCUUUGUCUUACAAACUUUAGAUUAUAUUUUAUAUUUGUUAUUUUUGAUAUUUGGAUUGUUUGGUAAGACAGGCACACACCACAAAGCAAUAUCAGUCCAGAACAUUAGCUUCUAUACAUGAUACGUUGAAUUCGCAUGGUUCGGAUGAUUACAGAUGGUCAUCCAAAUUAUUUUUCUUUAAUUGGUAGUGUUAAACAUUACAAUGAUAAAUUGUAUAGUUAAGUAGUUCCACUAUCCAUCUCAUAUUCCAGUUUUGUUAAAUUUUGGUAAUAAUAUUAUAUCAGUGUGGGUACCAUAAUAUAAUGCUUAUAUGAAUCAGAUACUUUAGGUUGAGAUUCAAAUAUAAAUUCUUUAUUAGUUAGGAAACAUUGAUACUACUUUUCUAUUAAGUUAUAGAACAAUCUUCAGAAGAAGAUUACCUUAACAGUGUUGUUCAAGCUAAUCUCUUCUUCUGUUUGUCUUUAGCUUAACUCAAUCUUUAGUAUGGUUAGAAAUUUUAGUCUAAUUUUUUUUUCCACCUGAUAAUGCAGGUACCUACAUACAUUGCUUGAUUUCAUCUUUGGCUUUGUUGUUGAUGACUUUAUUUAUGAAUUUAUUACUUAUUGGUUUAAAUAUUAUGUAGUACUUUAUGUAUGAGUUUAUUUUUUUUUUGGUAUUAUACAUGAUGCAUUUUAAUUAUUAGUAUGAGUCAAUAUUGUUGAUUGCUGAUCCUGUCAGUAGGAUUACACAAUUAAUAAUAACUUCACUUGUAUUUUUGUUUAGUUUUGCACACCUAACCCCUAAGUUAGUAGGGUUGUUAACUUAUUAUGUAUUUAUAUAGUUGGAUAGGAAAGCUCAUACAAGUACUCUUGUUUAAUAUGGAUAUUAUGAUGGAACUAUGUUACACUACCAUAUCUCAGGUUAUGUGUUAUAUUAUUUUUGAAUACCUAUUUGAUUACUUACUAAUUUUUAUUAUUUUUUAUAUCUUGUCCUUGAAUUUGCCAUAUUGGAAAGAUGUGUUUUUUUUUAAAUUUGUUAUUGGGUUACUCUAUUAACAUUUGUCUCCAAUAUCUUAAAUACUUUAUAAUAAUUCAGACCCUUAGUUCCUAUACAGUAUGAUUCUGGAAUUAGUUUCGAAUUUUGAUGUAAGUAUGUAUGAAUGCUUGAGUCUUUCAUAUUUCUGCUUAUGAAUAGUCUGUCAAUGCUCUGAUUUGUGAAUGCGUGGGUUCGAAGUUGUUGCUCAGCAACUGAUCACUGCUGUUUGACUGGCUUCGUAAUUUAUGUCUUUCAUGGCAGAGUAGGCAGACGUUUUACCAUUAUAAUAUUUCUUGUUAGGAAAUGACGGUCGCAUGUCCUAACCAUUCUUCUGUAAUUAGUCCAAGUAUUCCAGUUUUUUUUUACAAUUUAAUAGGGAAGUAUUUAGUUCAUACUAGGUCUUUUACUUCAUAGUAUGUUUGUACUUUGAUAGUUGAUGGAUAAACAUGGAUAAAUAUCUUGCGCACUUGUUUAUAAAUCAAUGCUUACGCCAUCCCUAUACGCAGUAGGUUUGUUAAGUCAGUAUUUGGAGUGUUUAGACAAAUGAGUUGUUCAUCAGAGUAUAUUCCCACUUCUUUCCUUAGGCAUUAGUUUUGUUAUUUAGAUUUUUGAACAUUUCCUGAAUAAUUCCACGUAUGUGAGAGCGCAUGAAUCUGCAGUUUUAAUUAAAAUUGGUUGCCCGUUCUCGUCAAUUUUUUUUCCUAUCACCUAUCACAUAUUUUUUUUUCCUAUCACUUAUCAUAGUGUCAUAAAACUUAUGAGUUCAUCAUUUAUUCUGUUUUCUUUCUUACUUAUUCUUAUAUUAGUACCUUAUCUGUGUCUGGUUAUUCUCAUACAUCUGUUGUAGCAACAUGCUAUAGUUCGCGAAUACCAGCAUGAAUUAAGUUAUGUAUUUUCUAGAAUACUUUAGUCAAUACACUUUAGGUAUUUAUCUUACCUUUGAUUUAGUUUGGUUACAUCUCUGUUACUUAGUCUGUUAAUAAUUUUUUUUCUGACUUAUUUUGGAUUACUUAGUUCAGAUAGGUUCAUAUUACCGGAUGAGGGUGUAUGUAGACCUAAUUUAUUUAUUUUGUUCAGUAUUAGUUACCAUUGGAUCCAAUAAUUUAGUUUAUUUAGUAUUAGUAAGAAUUGGUCCAUAAAUUUGCCUGAUCGUUCUUCUUUGGAUAUACUCCUAUAUAAAUCUGGUGUCCAUUGAUAGUCCGAUUCUGGAUAAGUGUCCGAUUCUUCAUUUAUUUUGUGUAUUUAGUUGGAUAGGUUCGUAUUACCGGAUGUGGGUGUACGUAGACCUGAUCUGUUAUGUGGUUUAGUAUUGGUGUGAAUUGGUCCAUAAAUUUGCCUGGUCGUUCUUCUUUGGAUAUGCCUUUUAUGAAUCUGGUGUCCACUGAUAGUUCGACUUUGGAUUAAGUGUCCGAUUCCACAUUUAUUUUGGUUAUUGAGUUUUGGAUUCCUUUGGUAUGUUUAUUAUUGGUAUUAUUUGACAUUAGUGAGAAUUGUUCCAUAAAUCUUCCUGAUUGUUCUUCUCUGGAUAUACUAUUAUGAAUCUGGUGUCCAUUGUUAGUUCAGUUUUGGAUAAAGUGUUCAAUUCUUUACCUAUUUUAGUUACUGAUUUUUUUUAUUCACUUUGGUACAUUUACUUUUGAUAUGGUUCGAAUUGGCUCACACCUUUUCCUGGUUGUUCCGUUCUUGGAUAUACCCUUUAUAAAUCUGAUGUCCAUGGAUAGUUCAAUUUUGGUUUUAGUGCCCAAUUCGACACUCAGUUAUUAUUAUGAACUUAAGUACAAUAUUUAGUUUUGUUUUGACUUUUGAGCAAUAUAUGUUAAUAUUUGGUAGCAGAGAGUAACAUAGUAACAUUUUAGUAUGAGUUUGAGUCAUGUAUUGAUUUAUUUUUCCUUGACCAUUAGUUUAUAUUUAGAAGUAAUCUUGCGAAUCAACGUGGAUUGUUAGACUAUUGUAAAUUUAGUUGUUAAUAUUUUGAAGUUUAAAAAAAAAAAAUUUUUUUUUGGUUAAAAAAAAAUUUUUUUCCCGAGUAGGAGGGGAUUGUAACGGUCCACCCGUUAUAUUAUCAUUUUUAGCGCUGUAAUUAUUUUUAAAAAAAUAAUUAUUUUCUCUUGACCUCCCAUUUAAAUUCUUUAAUUUAUCGUAAAGGACUUCUCAUGUGACGUCACACUGUACGGAACAUAGUUGUUGAACCGUUCCUUGUCGUUUAAUUCGUGUUCCGUGAGAGUUUGACGUUUUCCUCGCUGACUGUGGGAGGAAUGAGAGGCACUUGGCCGGUGGCUGCGAGGUUGACAGGUUGGUGUUGGUGGUUAGUACCGUAAAUGGCGGUUAAUUUCUUCGAAAUUAAUUUUUAUUUCAACUAAGUUUGGAAGUAUAGGAAAAAGUUACCACCACUUGUUUCCUGGAGUACGGGUUUCCUGGAGUAAGGAUGGGAGUACCAUCAGUGGAAGAGGAAUAAAAAAUUAACGGCCAUUUGGAAGAAAACUAACCCUCAUGUGAUGUCGUACCCACCUUGACUACCUAGGGAAGCCACCUUGACCUUAUUGCAGCUACCGCCAAGUCAAACUGGGAGUAUGUUUUGGGAACAAGCUUUUUGGGGGACAUUCCAGCUCCUUUUCGUCCUGCCACCUGGGCCUACGGGGGGGGCAUGGAGGUGCAUCAUAGUGAUGCUCAUUUUCUAGGAUGCAACCGCAACCUCGUUUGGGAACAUUUAGUGAGGAGUUUUAGUAACUAUUGGUUUUUUUUUAUAUUUCAGACUAUCUGUUAAAUACACUAUGUUUUUUUUCCAGAUUUAGGUUACCUCUGUUUUUUUUUGACAUAUGUAUUUGUAUAUUAGAUUAUUUGGUUCCCAAACUUUGUAUCUACGGUAACUUCUUGUGCACAGGAAUAAGCCUAGAGAAAAUUAGGUUUUUAAUACUUUAUUAUUGCUUUGAUAUUGGUUUAUGUAAUUCGGGUAAAUUUAUUUUGUAACAUUACUUGCUUGUUUCCCAAAUAUUGUAUUUAUUCGCUUUAUUUCGUUUGUUCGGUUACUUCGUCGUUACUUUAUUUCAUUGCAUUUGCUCGGUUAAUUUAGGUCAUUUUGUCGGUAUUUUUCUUAACUUCACUUCUAUAACGUUUAUUCAUUUGUAUAUUUAAUUUUGCUUUAUUCAGUAUUGUAUUUUCUCUUAGUGAGGCUUGGGCCUAUUUAUUUGUAUUAUUUUCAUCUUCGUCGGUUUCCUUUAGUUGUACGUAGCAGGCGUACUAUAACCAUUUGGUAGAAGACUUAUGUAAUUUUGUCCCCUAUAUGUUAGUAAGAGGUACUUAUAUUUAAGUUUGUAACAGAUAACAUUAUUGUUGUUAUCUUUAAAAUAUAUAUAUCUUCUUGUAUAACUUAUGUCAUUUUAGAGUCACAGCAUAAUAUGAACUUGCUUAACUCAGAGAUUGUUAAAAAUCUGGUAGUUAUUUUUAAUAAAUAUGUUUAUUUAUUUUGUA
rnacentral:lncRNA from 1 species